ACCGCAAAGGAUUAUGGUCUAUUGGAAAGUCGAAAAUGUUUGUCGAAAUAAUGCGCCAAAUAAACUGAAGUGUUGUUUCGUUUAUUAAAGCCGGCCUAAGUGAGCUAACAAAGAAAUCAUCAGUCCACAAAAGAAUCAACCAGGGAAGGAGAAAAACAUUCAAAGCUGCAAAUUGCCAAAUCCAUCACCGGCCUAAAGGAGCUAACAAAAAAAUCAUCAGUCCAGAAAAGAAUCAACCAGUGAAGGAGAAAAACAUUCAAAGCUGUAAAUUGCCAAAUCCAUCAGUUGGAAGAUGGAUGUCAAAGUCUCAGACAAAAGCUUCCAGAGUUAAGGAGAGAACACUUCAACAAAAACAAGCACGAGAAGAAUGACUGCAAAAAAGUUUUUCGCAGAUUCGUUUCCUUAUCAAGUGUAUUUAAGGAAAAUGGACCUGUCUACAGAGACUAGAUGUAAAUGUCAAGGACUGCAAUGAGCAAUUCAAUGACUCCUUUCUAAUUGUGUCAAGUGUCAUAAAAAAUUAAAACUGUUAUAAAUGGA